rnacentral:rRNA from 1 species
GACGAACGCUGGCGGCGUGCCUAACACAUGCAAGUCAGGGAGAAAAGGGUAGCAAUAUCCUGAGUAAACCGGCGGACGGGUGAGUAACACGUAGGUAAUCUACCUUGGAGUUUGGGACAACCUCGCGAAAGCGGGGCUAAUACCGGAUAACACAAUCGGUUCUCAUGAAUCGGUUAUCAAAGCUUCCGAGCGCUUCAAGAUGAGCCUGCGUCCGAUUAGCUAGUUGGUGAGGUAAUGGCUCACCAAGGCUACGAUCGGUAGCCGACCUGAGAGGGUGAUCGGCCACACUGGGACUGAGAUACGGCCCAGACUCCUACGGGAGGCAGCAGUGAGGAAUAUUGGUCAAUGGACGAAAGUCUGAACCAGCAACGCCGCGUGAGGGAUGAA